rnacentral:rRNA from 1 species
CAGCCGCCACGGGAAUACGUAGGGUGCGAGCGUUAAUCGGAAUUACUGGGCGUAAAGCGUGCGCAGGCGGUUUGUUAAGACAGAUGUGAAAUCCCCGGGCUUAACCUGGGAACUGCAUUUGUGACUGGCCGGCUAGAGUAUGGCAGAGGGAGGUGGAAUUCCACGUGUAGCAGUGAAAUGCGUAGAUAUGUGGAGGAACACCGAUGGCGAAGGCAGCCUCCUGGGCCAAUACUGACGCUCAUGCACGAAAGCGUGGGGAGCAAACAGGAUUAGAUAACCCCGUAGUCCCUGUCUCUUAACA